rnacentral:rRNA from 1 species
GGGGAUGCCUGUGGCUCUCAGAGGCGAAGAAGGACGUGAUAAGCUGCGAAAAGCUACGGGGAUUGGCACACACGAAUUGAUCCGUAGAUAUCCGAAUGGGGCAACCCACUAUGUUGAAGACAUAGUACCCGAUAGGGGGCAAACCCGCUGAACUGAAACAUCUAAGUAGGCGGAGGAGAAGAAAACAAAAGUGAUUCCGUAAGUAGUGGCGAGCGAACGCGGAUUAGCCCAAACCAAUGUUGUUACGGCAAUAUUGGGGUUGUAGGACCAAGAC